AUUGAACGCUGGCGGCAGGCUUAACACAUGCAAGUCGAGCGGGGUGAUGGUGCUUGCACUAUCACUUAGCGGCGGACGGGUGAGUAAUGCUUAGGAAUCUGCCUAUUAGUGGGGGACAACAUUCCGAAAGGAAUGCUAAUACCGCAUACGCCCUACGGGGGAAAGCAGGGGAUCUUCGGACCUUGCGCUAAUAGAUGAGCCUAAGUCGGAUUAGCUAGUUGGUGGGGUAAAGGCCUACCAAGGCGACGAUCUGUAGCGGGUCUGAGAGGAUGAUCCGCCACACUGGGACUGAGACACGGCCCAGACUCCUACGGGAGGCAGCAGUGGGGAAUAUUGGACAAUGGGCGGAAGCCUGAUCCAGCCAUGCCGCGUGUGUGAAGAAGGCCUUUUGGUUGUAAAGCACUUUAAGCGAGGAGGAGGCUACCUGGAUUAAUACUCUAGGAUAGUGGACGUUACCCGCAGAAUAAGCACCGGCUAACUCUGUGCCAGCAGCCGCCGCCGUAA
rnacentral:rRNA from 1 species